rnacentral:rRNA from 1 species
CAAUAGCGUAUAUUAAAGUUGUUGCAGUUAAAAAGCUCGUAGUUGAACUUCUGUCUGUAUGUCGUCCCUACAAGGAAUCGAUAAGACGGACAUCCCCGACUGACGGUUUACAGAGCUUAAGUGUUCUUAUAACCUGAACCGGAUUUUACUUUGAAAAAUUAGAGUGUUUCAAGCAGGCGAUUUGCUGGAAUACAUUAGCAUGGAAUAAUAGAAGAUGACCACCACGCAUUUUAUUGGUAAUAUUGCGGGAGGUAAUGAUUAACAGGGACAGUUGGGGGCAUUAGUAUUUAAUUGUCAGAGGUGAAAUUCAUUGAUUAAUUAAAGACUAACUUAUGCGAAAGCAUUUGCCAAGGAUGUUUUCAUUAAUCAAGAACGAAAGUUAGGGGAUCAAAGACGAUCAGAUACCAU